AACUCUUAGCGGUGGAUCACUUCGGCUCGUGCAUCGAUGAAGAACGCAGCUAGCUCGCGAGAACUAAUGUGAAUUGCAGGACACAUUGAUCAUCGAUACUCGAGCGCACAUUGCGGCCCGGGUUCCUCCGGGGCCACGCCUAUCUGAGGUCG